GAUGAACGCUGGCGGCGUGCCUAAUACAUGCAAGUCGAGCGAACAGACGAUGAGAUUGCUCCUCUGACGUUAGCGGCGGACGGGUGAGUAACGCGUGGAUAACCUACCUAUAAUACUGGGAUAACUUCGUGAAACCAGAUCUAAUACUGGAUAACAUGAUGAACGGGAGGAUUCAACAGUGAAAGGCAGUCUGGCUGUCACAUAGAGAUGAAGCCGCGCCGGAUUAGCUAGUUGGUAAGGUAACGGCCUACCAAGGCAACGAUGCGUAGCUGACCUGAGAGGUUGAUCAGCCACACUGGAACUGAGACACGGUCCAGACUCCUACGGGAGGCAGCAGUAGGGAAUAUUCCGCAAUGGGCGCAAGCCUGACGCAGCAACGCCGCGUGAGUGAUGAAGGUCUUCGGAUCGUAAAACUCUGUUAUUAGGGAAGAACAACUGUGUAAGUAACUAUGCACGUCCUGACGGUACCUAAUCAGAAAGCAACGGCUAACUACGUG
rnacentral:rRNA from 1 species